rnacentral:rRNA from 1 species
AGUGAACGCUGGCGGUAGGCCUAACACAUGCCAGUCGAACGGCAGCACAGUAAGAGCUUGCUCUUACGGGUGGCGAGUGGCGGGCGGGUGAGGAAUACAUCGGAAUCUACUUUUUCGUGGGGGAUAACGUAGGGAAACUUACGCUAAUACCGCAUACGACCUACGGGUGAAAGCAGGGGAUCUUCGGACCUUGCGCGAUUGAAUGAGCCGAUGUCGGAUUAGCUAGUUGGCGGGGUAAAGGCCCACCAAGGCGACGAUCCGUAGCUGGUCUGAGAGGAUGAUCAGCCACACUGGAACUGAGACACGGUCCAGACUCCUACGGGAGGCAGCAGUGGGGAAUAUUGGACAAUGGGCGAAAGCCUGAUCCAGCCAUACCGCGUGGGUGAAGAAGGCCUUCGGGUUGUAAAGCCCUUUUGUUGGGAAAGAAAAGCUGCAGGUGAAUACCCCGCUGUUCUGACGGUACCCAAAGAGUAAGCAACGGCUAACUUCGUG